UCAGACGAUGCGUCAUGCAUAUCAAUAAGCGGAGGAAAAGAAACUAACUAGGAUUCCCUCAGUAACGGCGAGCGAAGCGGGAAGAGCUCAAAUUUGAAAUCUUCAAGGUUCUACCUUGACGAAUUGUAGUUUAAAGAAGUGUUUUCUGUUGGAGUUUUGGUAAAAGUUCUUUGGAAUAGGACAUCAUAGAGGGUGAGAAUCCCGUAUUUGACCGUUAUUUCUAGCUUUGUGAUACACUUUCAAAGAGUCGGAUUGUUUGGGAAUGCAGUCCAAAAUGGGUGGUAAAUUUCAUCUAAAGCUAAAUAUUGGCGAGAGACCGAUAGCGAACAAGUACCGUGAGGGAAAGAUGAAAAGAACUUUGAAAAGAGAGUUAAACAGUACGUGAAAUUGUCAAAAGGGAAGCGUUUGACACCAGUGUUGUUUAUUGAAAAUCAAUUAAAAAAGGCAGGAUUUUGUGUUGUAUUGACUUUAUCAGCUUUCUGCACUCUUUUCUUGUCUUUUUUUAAUGCACUUUUCGUUUAACAAGUCAACAUCAAUUUCUUUUGUUGUAAAAGGGUCAUUGGAAGGUGGCUUUCUUUUCGGAGAAAGUGUUUAUAGCCUUUGGCCUCUGCAAUCGGAGAGAUUGAGGUCUGCAGCGUAGAUCCUUCGGGGUUAGAUACAUUUGUGCUAAGUUAUAGCCUUUCAUAGACAACUUGUUGACUAUGAUCAGUCAUGUAGCUUACUCGCUUAUGCUAUUUUACCUACGCUUAGGAUGUUGAUCUACAGAGCGAGAGU
rnacentral:rRNA from 1 species